GCCGGUCGGCUGGCCGCACCCACGCGGCGCAGCUCCCAAAGUUGCAGACAGCCCGGCGAACCGCGCAAUGCGCUUCUUCUGCCUGCAGCAGAGAAAAGGAAAGAAAACUCCGCAGGGGCUCCGUUGGCUUCUCCACGAGUGACAACCAUGUUUUCCCAGAUAGAAGACCGGAGCCCUGCUCCUUUGCGAUCCGCCGAGGGCUGCAGAGAGCAUCCUCAUCCAUUUGGGCACCCCUGCCCAGGAAGAGCCCGGCCAUCCCUUUCCGGACUGGAUCCUUAAGAGGUGAAUUUUCUUCCGUGGAUUCCGAUUUGCUCCGUCUGACCAGCCUAGGCAAUCCAGCAUCGCGUGGUACCAGUGCCGCUGGGCACACUGGCUUCACGCCGGCUCCGCCUCACCAGCAAGCGCAUUCCCAGGUGGUCAGGCUCAGGAUGGACCAUGAGCUUUCAAAAAGGAAAAAGACCAAUGUCACCAACUUUUCCUAAGCUUUUUCUGGAGGAAAUUCGCAUUUGAAUUGAUGGACUGAAUAAAGCAGAUUGCAGUCCCCAGUGUGGAUGGGCUUGAUCCAGUCUUCUAAGGACCCAAAUAAAAUAGGUGGAGGAAGCUUGAAUUUUCUGCCUGACUGUGGCGCUGGGACACCCAUCUUCUCCUGCCCUUGAACUGGGACUGACACCAUCAGUGCUCCUGGUUCUCAGACCUUCGGACAGCAGACUUGGGGCCUUCUCGGCCUCCAUUAUUGUCUGCUUUUAGAUAUUUAACGGGAGAGGAAAAGAGAAAAUAUGAUUAAAGCCUUUGAAAGUCCAUUUCCAAGAAAUAAAAACUGCAGUAGGAAUUCUACAAAACUGAAAAAUCUUCAGGACUGGAAGAUCUAUCCAGAAAAGCCCAGUGGAUUAUAAUAACUUAUUAAAAUAUUUGUUUGGCAAGCCA
rnacentral:lncRNA from 1 species